GUUACGCUAGCGCUAGCCAGCAAUCGGUACCGGCUGCUCAUUUUCUUUUCCUUCGUCUGGAGUCUGGACGGUUGGUCUCUAAUCUCUUCGUCCUGCCUGCCGCUCGGCGCUCGGCGCCUUGCCGUCUCGGCCGCCGCCGGCUUGCCGCUGCGCGCGCCGCAUAGCAGUCCGGUAACCCAAAGUCUGCAGCGAGCCAACGAGGACAUUAUCCUGCCAUGUUGCCUAAGAAGAAGAUGUUGGUGCUGAAAAAAGGAGAAGAAAAAAAGAAAGUAUUAUUGCAUCAAGAAACGUCCGAAGAAACUUUUUUUGAAGCACUGAAGUAUUAUUGUUGUCGAUGGAGUCAGUUGAAUUUGGUUCUUAUUUGAGGUAGCGGGUACCCAUUGCCAUGUUGAGUAACAUAACAAAUCUGAAGGCAAAUCGAGUCUACAUCUACAAAUGAAGACUUACAUGAUACUACACAUAUGUUACUACACAUUGUGAAGGUGUAACAUAGACUAGUGUCAUACAUAUGAUACUACUCUAAAUUACUCCCCACCAUGACUAGUCGGGCGUAAGCAAAAUGCCUACCAAUCAAUGCAUGAAGGAAUUUAAUUGUUAAAAAAUUAUACGAGGGAAGCAUAGCAUCAAAAGCUAAGAAACUAUGCAUUGGGAAGAUUAGUUGCUAAGGUUUUUAAUGUACUUAAUGCAUCUACAACCAAACUUAGCAAAUUUACCCCAUUAAAUAUCCGCGGACACGCCCAGUCAGUGUCCGGGCAUGUCCAUUUUGGGCCCUUAUUUUUCAAGAACCCAUAGUCAAUAUAAACCCCCCUUGUGGACAUAUGUAACCAUUCACUAUCCUUUCUACCAACUUAAGAGGAGAUGUACUUCCUCCGAGAGAACUGAUACAUCUUGAACG